rnacentral:rRNA from 1 species
UCCUCUAAACAGAGAGGUACUUGGGAAUCCGUGUGGAGUUUACUAUGCCCGUCGAAAAUAAAAAUAUUUAUUUGGAGGGCACCUCACAGUGCAGCCCCUUGCCGCUCUAUUCUUGCCAAUAAACAUAUCAAAAUCAACCCUAGUUGCCCUGCGUGCAAUCUAGGUCCUGGUAAUAUCAAGCAUUUGCUAUUUGAGUGUAAGUUAGCAACAGAUUUGUGGAAAUUAUUAGGUGUCGAUGAUAUCAUCAGGAAGGCCUGCUUGCUGGACAGGGCGGGAGAAGUUAUUCUUGAACACUUGCUAUGUUUGAAAGACCAUGACAUUCACACCCUAGAUCUACCGAAAUUGAGAGAAACAAUAGCAACUGCAGCUUGGUAUUUGUGGUAUGAAAGAAGAAAAUUAGCACAUGGGGAGAAUGUCCAAAGUGUAGCUCAAAUCAGCUUGGCUGUGAGAGGACUCGCCGCGAACUUCAUUAUUUCAUGCACACCUAAGGCCAAACUGAAACAGAAUAUGUGGUUGAAGCCAAGGUAUGGAUAUGUUAAACUGAAUGUGGAUGCUGGUUUUGACGUAGAUACACUAGAAGGAACGGUGGGGGCAGUUCUUCGGGACCACAAUGGCAAGUUCAUCGCUGCUGCGAAUGAAAAGAUUGAUAUAUGUUUUGACUCGUUUACAGCAGAGGCACUUGCAGAACGAUUCGGGAUGAAUCUAGCACGUACAAAAGGGUGUAGCAAAAUCGAGAUCAACUCGGGGAAGUGGUAG